rnacentral:tRNA from 1 species
GUCCGUGUGGCUCAGUUGGUAGAGCAUGGUGUUUGCAACGCCAAGGUUGUGGGUUCGCUUCCCAUGGGGGACC